rnacentral:rRNA from 1 species
GAUGAACGCUGGCGGUAUGCCUAACACAUGCAAGUCGUACGAGAGUUUUUAACUCUAGUGGCGGACGGGUGAGUAACACGUGAGAAUUUGCCUUUAGAGGGGGAUAACAAUUGGAAACGAAUGCUAAUACCCCAUAUGCUUUUGAGUGAAAUGGAUUUUAUCCGCCUAGAGAGAAGCUCGCGGCUGAUUAGCUUGUUGGUAAGGUAAGAGCUUACCAAGGCGACGAUCGGUAGCUGGUCUGAGAGGAUGAUCAGCCACACUGGAACUGAGACACGGUCCAGACUCCUACGGGAGGCAGCAGUGGGGAAUAUUGGACAAUGGGCGCAAGCCUGAUCCAGCAAUUCCGCGUGGGUGAAGAAGGUCUUCGGAUUGUAAAGCCCUUUCGUUGGGGACGAUGAUGACGGUACCCAAAGAAGAAGCCCCGGCUAACUUCGUG